CAGUAGCCGCGGUAAUACGUAGGGUGCGAGCGUUAAUCGGAAUUACUGGGCGUAAAGCGUGCGCAGCCGGUUAUGUAAGACAGUUGUGAAAUCCCCGGGCUCAACCUGGGAAUUGCAUCUGUGACUGCAUAGCUAGAGUACGGUAGAGGGGGAUGGAAUUCCGCGUGUAGCAGUGAAAUGCGUAGAUAUGCGGAGGAACACCGAUGGCGAAGGCAAUCCCCUGGACCCGUACUGACGCUCAUGCACGAAAGCGUGGGGAGCAAACAGGAUUAGAUACCCGAGUAGUCCCUGUCUCUUAUAC
rnacentral:rRNA from 1 species